rnacentral:rRNA from 1 species
UACGGAGGGGCUAGCGUUGUUCGGAAUUACUGGGCGUAAAGCGCGCGUAGGCGGACCUGCAAGUCGGGGGUGAAAGCCCGAGGCUCAACCUCGGAACUGCCUUCGAUACUGCGGGUCUCGAGUCCGGGAGAGGUGAGUGGAAUUCCUAGUGUAGAGGUGAAAUUCGUAGAUAUUAGGAAGAACACCAGUGGCGAAGGCGCUCACUGGCCCGGUACUGACGCUGAGGCGCGAAAGCGUGGGGAGCAAACAGG